UCAAAACAAAAAUUUCAAGUAGGCCUGAAGUACUAUCUUACUAUGGCGAUGUUUAAACUUGGUUUGGUUCUCACUAUUCUUCUCGUGGCAACUACAUUUAAUAUGGUGUGGCUAUCAAACACACAUGUGGAUGCUGCACGAAAUGCUGAUAUGGAUAUUUCAGGACUGGAGAGGAGACUACUGCCACAACUUAAUUCCUGGAUUACCUGUAACAACAAAUGCAUCGUAAAUAGUGAUUGUCAUGGUUGCUGGUUUUGCUGCACAUGUACAACUUGGAAGUUAUGCGGGUAUAUUGCUUGAACGUAGUAUAUUACUGAUCAAUUGCAACAAACUCUGCAAAAUCCUCGCUAUGGGUCUGUGUUUCCGUGUGGUUUGAUUACUGUUUUUAUUUUGUUUUCAUGCUUUGUAUAAUAAUGAAGUCAAGUGAAGUGCUUUCUCUAUUGUAAGGAAUAAUAAUGUAUUACCGCUUGUUUGGAUGGUUGCUACUGUAUUACACCUUGUUUGUUUUGAUUGUUACUUAAAUUUUA